rnacentral:rRNA from 1 species
UACAGAGGUGGCGAGCGUUGUUCGGAAUCACUGGGCGUAAAGGGUGCGUAGGCGGGUCUUUAAGUCAGGGGUGAAAUCCUGGAGCUCAACUCCAGAACUGCCUUUGAUACUGAAGAUCUUGAGUUCGGGAGAGGUGAGUGGAACUGCGAGUGUAGAGGUGAAAUUCGUAGAUAUUCGCAAGAACACCAGUGGCGAAGGCGGCUCACUGGCCCGAUACUGACGCUGAGGCACGAAAGCGUGGGGAGCAAACAGG